UCGGAUAUGGUGUAACGGCUAACAUUAGCGCCUCUCAUUUGUUUACGCGCUAGCUCGGGGUUCGAUUCCCCGUAUCCGAA